GUAAGGAAUAUUGGACAAUGGGCGGAAGCCUGAUCCAGCCAUGCCGCGUGAAGGAAGAAGGCGCUCAGCGUUGUAAACUUCUUUUGGACGGGAACAAAGGCAUCACUGCGGUGGUGUUUGAGGGUACUGUCAGAAUAAGCACCGGCUAACUCCGUGCCAGCAGCCGCGGUAAUACGGAGGGUGCAAGCGUUAUCCGGAAUCACUGGGUUUAAAGGGUGCGUAGGCGGUGGAGUAAGUCAGUUGUGAAAUUCCCUCGCUUAACGAGUGGGACUGCGAUUGAUACUGCUUUACUUGAAUCAGGUUGAGGUGAGCGGAAUGUGGCAUGUAGCGGUGAAAUGCAUAGAUAUGCCAUAGAACACCGAUUGCGAAGGCAGCUUGCUGGACCUUGAUUGACGCUGAGGCACGAAAGCGUGGGGAGCAAACAGGAUUAGAAACCCGUGUAGUCC
rnacentral:rRNA from 1 species